rnacentral:rRNA from 1 species
UACGGAGGGUGCGAGCGUUAAUCGGAAUAACUGGGCGUAAAGGGCACGCAGGCGGCGUUUUAAGUCAGGCGUGAAAUCCCCGGGCUUAACCUGGGAAUAGCAUUUGAGACUGGGAGGCUAGAGUACGGUAGGGAGGGGUGGAAUUCCACGUGUAGCGGUGAAAUGCGUAGAGAUGUGGAGGAAUACCGAAGGCGAAGGCAGCCCCCUGGGAAUGUACUGACGCUCAGGUGCGAAAGCGUGGGGAGCAAACAGG